GACGAACGCUGGCGGCGUGCUUAACACAUGCAAGUCGAACGGAAAGGCCUGUCCUUCCUUGUGUUGGACGGGUACUCGAGUGGCGAACGGGUGAGUAACACGUGAGUGAUCUGCCCCCAACUUGGGUAUAAGCCUGGGAAACUGGGUCUAAUUCCCGAUAGGACUGCAGGGUGGUGCCUGUGGUGGAAAACGAUUUUCUAGUGGUUGGGGAUGAGCUCGCGGCCUAUCAGCUUGUUGGUGGGGUAAUGGCCUACCAAGGCGGCGACGGGUAGCCGGCCUGGGAGGGUGGACGGCCACAUUGGGACUGAGAUACGGCCCAGACUCCUACGGGAGGCAGCAGUGGGGAAUAUUGCACAAUGGGCGGAAGCCUGAUGCAGCGACGCCGCGUGGGGGAUGACGGCCUUCGGGUUGUAAACUCCUUUCGACCGCGAGGAAGCCGCCUGGUUGGAAGGGUGGUGACGGUAGUGGUAGAAGAAGCACUGGCUAACUACGUG
rnacentral:rRNA from 1 species